rnacentral:rRNA from 1 species
GCUUACGGCCAUACCACUCUGUCUGUGCCCGCUCUCGUCUGAUCUCGGAAGCUAAGCAGAGUUGGGCUUGGUUAGUACAUGGAUGGUAGACUACCAGGUGCUGUAAGCU